GGGGAUGAUCGGUUUCGACAGCGGCUGUUGAAGCAGGGGAAGCGAGCCGAGGAACGCGGCAAUGAUCUCGUUAACCAUCUGCCGCAAAAAAAUAAUCGCCAACACCAAGCGCGAUUCCUUCGCCCUCGCUGCCUGAGCAGCGACUUGCGAAGUGUCAGCCCAGGGAUGUUCCCGCCCUGGAUCCUGGCAUCAGCUAGGGAACUACACCGUUAGCCCCGGUCACGGGGGUUCGCGGAACAUCAAACAGUGACUGGGCCCGUCGGCGGCUUGUCCGCGUGACCGCCGGGGCCGAGAAAAUCACAGCGGACUGCGCUCGGAGAAGCCCUGGUUCUGCACCGUUGGACGCGGGUUCGAUUCCCGCCAUCUCCACUC
rnacentral:tmRNA from 1 species